GAAAUGCGAUAAGUAAUGUGAAUUGCAGAAUUCAGUGAAUCAUCGAAUCUUUGAACGCACCUUGCGCUCCUUGGUAUUCCUUGGAGCAUGCCUGUUUGAGUAUCAUGAAAUCUUCAAAGUAAAUCUUUUGUUAACUCAAUUGGUUUCUACUUUGGUAUUGGAGGUCUUUGCAGCUUCACACCUGCUCCUCUUUGUUCAUUAGCUGGAUCUCAGUGUUAUGCUUGGUUCCACUCGGCGUGAUAAGUUAUCUAUCGCUGAGGACACUGUAAAAGGUGGCCAAGGUAAAUGCAGAUGAACCGCUUCUAAUAGUCCAUUGACUUGGACAAUACUUUUAUGAUGUGAUCUCAAAUCAGGUAGGACUACCCGCUGAACUUAAGC
rnacentral:misc_RNA from 1 species